UGGAGUAUUUGAAAUUUAUUAGGGAUUUCUUCUACUUAGGGAUUUGGAACGAUGACCAAAUUAGGUACUUGUGGUUGCAUCAAUUCCAUAGAUCCGUGGAUGAAGAGAUGAGUUAGGGUUUUACAUUUUGGAACGAUGGAACUGUUUUGCGUUUUUGGAGUUUAAGUGUAGUGUUUGAUUAGUUAUGUGAAGGGGUUCUAUUUUUUUGUUCGGUAACAAAGGAUUGAAAUUUUUAUUUUAUUUCUGUAAUAAAGUGGAGUCUAUUUUUAGAACAAAACAUUGCGACAGUGGCCUAAACCGUUGCAUAAGCUGUUGCAAAUUUUUUAAAAAACACAUAUUGCGACAGUUAUGUUCAAACUGUCGCAACUGAAGUGUCGCAAAGUGAUAAUUUUCUUGU
rnacentral:lncRNA from 1 species